AAGGUUAUAAAGGAAGAUGAUGUAUUUGUUGCUCUUCUGGCAGCAGAAUAUCUUAUUCUUUUGUAUGGCAUGAUUAGUGGUAAUUUCUAAGUUCUCAUAUUCUUGUUCACGUCCAUUCAGAGAUUAUGGAUGAUGAUGGUUGCUGUUGCUUUCCUGGCACUUCUCAAUUUUGUGGUAGUCAAGGUUGUGGUGUAUUAUAUCUUUUCAAACAGCAUUAUGUGUGGUAAUCUUGAAUGAUAACUAUCCUACUGUGCUGUGCCUUUCUGGUUAUUUUGUGUUUCUUGAAUUUGUCUGUGCCAUGAUAUAUGAUUUUUUCCCCUUUUGUUCUGUGCAGACAAUUUAGGUUCAGUAUUUUGGUAAGUGUUUUGAUAUCUAAUUUAUAAUCGUUAUAAUAAUAUGUAUGAUGUACUAUAAAAAUGGUCUUUGCUUUUGGCAUGCAAUAUUUGUGUGCUGGUUUACUAGUAAGAAAAAAAAGUAAUAAAUAUAUUAUAACAAUGACACUGUUUUGGCAUUAAUAUAGUAUUUUUGCUUAUUAAGCUUUUGAAAUUUUUAUCCCAUAUCAAUUAUGAAUGCCGGAUUGAAUGAUAUAUUGAUCACAGAAGCCACAAAGAUCUCUAUGUUUAUUUAUUUGAAUUUGUUACUUUUUAUGUGGCAUUGGAUCUUGUCGGCUAGGCAUUUCUCUGAUUGAUCGAGACAACUAGUCUAUGAUUAAGAAUUAUCUUGUUGUUUUUGUUUGCAUCAAUUUCUUUGCUACUUGGUGUGCGAUCUCUUCCUGUGGUAAUGUCUGAGAUGGAUGGAGGGAAUGGAGCUAAAACCUUUAUGCAUAAUCAUCUGGAUUUUCUUUACUCAAUUAUAUACUGAUUGCAUAUACUUGAUGUUUGAUGUUAAUUUUUUCUCUAUGGGCUUUUGAGAUGAAUAGUGGGAAUCAAAGUAGACACCUUUCAAGAAUUGAUUGGCUCUAUUUGUUUUUGUCUCUGUUCAAACUUGUCAACAAGAGUUUCUCAAAAUAAAUGGAACUAAUUGAUCAAAGCCUUUUUGCAAGGUUGUUCAUAUUGAAUUUUGUGGUCACUGGUUGGUAAGUUUACUGGACUUUACUAUAUCAUACAUGUACAGUUGUACUGCUAUUAAGCUUACCUGUCUUUUGUUGUUCGGGUGUUUAAAAGUAUUCUUUUUCUCUGCGAAGUUGCAACUGAUGUUCUUGAGGUAGGCUAUAGGCAAAGAUCUCCAGCAGAUUGUUUCCAAGAUAUAACACACAUAUUUGAAAUCUGUGCCUACAUUGAACUGAAACCUUCAAUGAUGAACCAUGGACUCA